AUUGAACGCUGGCGGCAUGCCUUACACAUGCAAGUCGAACGGUAACAGGUUAAGCUGCCGAGUGGCGAACGGGUGAGUAAUGUAUCGGAACGUGCCCAGUCGUGGGGGAUAACUGCUCGAAAGAGCAGCUAAUACCGCAUACGACCUGAGGGUGAAAGCGGGGGAUCGCAAGACCUCGCGCGAUUGGAGCGGCCGAUAUCAGAUUAGGUAGUUGGUGAGGUAAAGGCUCACCAAGCCGACGAUCCGUAGCUGGUCUGAGAGGACGACCAGCCACACUGGGACUGAGACACGGCCCAGACUCCUACGGGAGGCAGCAGUGGGGAAUUUUGGACAAUGGGCGCAAGCCUGAUCCAGCCAUGCCGCGUGCGGGAAGAAGGCCUUCGGGUUGUAAACCGCUUUUGUCAGGGAAGAAAAGGUUCUGGCUAAUACCUGGGACUCAUGACGGUACCUGAAGAAUAAGCACCGGCUAACUACGUG
rnacentral:rRNA from 1 species